rnacentral:rRNA from 1 species
UACGUAGGGUGCGAGCGUUAAUCGGAUUUACUGGGCGUAAGGCGUGCGCAGGCGGCCCGUUAAGACAGGUGUGAAAUCCCUGGGCUCAACCUAGGAAUUGCGCUUGUGACUGGCGGGCUCGAGUACGGUAGAGGGGGGUGGAAUUCCUGGUGUAGCAGUGAAAUGCGUAGAGAUCAGGAGGAACACCGAUGGCGAAGGCAGCCCCCUGGGCCUGUACUGACGCUCAUGCACGAAAGCGUGGGGAGCAAACAGG